CAAAGGUGGGUUUGGUUUUGUUGGAAGCAACUAAGGGAAGAAAUGAUGCUUUGUAAAAGAUACUGAUUUACUCAAAAAAUAGCAGAAAGUUUGAUGCAAUGUCAUGAUUUUGUCUUUGCUUAUAUUUAUAAAGUGUGGGGAAAAUCUAAGCGUACGUUUAGUGCAUGACAACUUACAUAAAGAAAUUAAUUUCAUUCAAAAAAUAAUGCCAUAUUUAUUCAUUUUCAUUUGAAUUAUGAUGAAUAAAUUGAAUUAUUUAACCAAAGUGAGCAAAUAAAAUUUUACCUAAAUUGAGUAACGAAGUGGUG
rnacentral:misc_RNA from 1 species